UAGAUGUAUAUAGAUGAGUAGAUGUAUAUAGAUAUAUAGUUAGAUGUAGAUAUAUAUAGUUGAGUAGAUGUAUAUAGAUGUAUAUAGUUGAGAUGUAUAUAGAUGUAUAUAGUUGAGUAGAUGUAUAUAGAUGUAUAUAGUUGAGUAGAUGUAUAUAGUUGAGAUGUAUAUAGAUGUAUAUAGUUGAGUAGAUGUAUAUAGAUGUAUAUAGUUGAGUAGAUGUAUAUAGGUGUAUAUAGUUGAGAUGUAUAUAGAUGUAUAUAGUUGAGUAGAUGUAUAUAGGUGUAUAUAGUUGAGAUGUAUAUAGAUGUAUAUAGUUGAGUAGAUGUAUAUAGUUGAGUAGAUGUAUAUAGAUGUAUAUAGUUGAGUAGAUGUAUAUAGAUAUAUAUAGUUGAGUAGAUGUAUAUAGGUGUAUCUAGUUGAGUAGAUGUAUAUAGGUGUAUAUAGUUGAAUGCAUGUAUAUACAUGUAUAAAGUUGAAUAGAUGUUAGCGUCGCAUCGUGACUGUGUUGGUCGUUUGUUAGAUAAGUAAAAGUAUUUGUGGAGAGCUUAUCUCAGCGCUAAAUCUUUUUUCUGUUUUUUUUUCCCCUUUGGUAUCAUCAUUUCUGAUCAGGGUGUGAGUCUCUGGAACGAUAAACAGGUCUUCUUCUUUUUUUUUUUUUCUUGUUCAUAUUGGGAAUUGAGAACUUUGCUAAUCUCUUUAUCUGUCUUUCGCCACUACCUGAGAAGGGCGUUACACUCGGUCGCUGUGAGCCCUCAGGUGAACAGGUGUACGUUUUCCCAUUGACUCCCGUUUCCUCAUUUCUACCUUCUGCCAUGUUAACAGGAAUUAAAAAUCAUGCUGUUCCUGUUCUUCAGCUUCUCAGUCACCUGAAUCUCACCUGGGCUGCAUUCCAGUACUGUUGCUAAUCUGCGCGCUCAGACCUGCAGCUCGAU
ensembl:lncRNA